GGGAGCUCGAAGUGUAAACAAAGCAGUCGACGUCGAGGAACCACACAGGAAACUCCACGCGAACACCUCUUCCUCUGCGUGUUAUCUAUGACGAGAGAACCUCAUGGCUGCGAAGCGUCCGUCGUCAGGGGGGCAGUGGAAACAGCUCUUCCCUACGAAAUGCAGCUUAUUUGUCUUCUUGGCUUACAUGGCGCUCUUUAUUAAUCAAGGGAUAAUGGUGACGGCAUCCCAACGCGCAGAUAACAGUUACAGCUACAAUACCGUCACUGUGGUUCUGCUCUCGGAGGCAACAAAACUCGUUGUUUCGUUUCUACUGUACCUUAGGGA